CCAACAUUAAGUGGGGCCAGCUAGAGUGACUGCGAGGGGAAACAUGUGGGAAUGGUGGGUUGACGGCAAAUCGUCAAGCCGCCUGUGCAUAGGGCGACACACGUGCGACAUUGGGUAGUACAGAGGGUUGCCAAGCCGUAAGGCGGAGCUAAUCCCUUAAAGCUACUCUUAGUUCGGAUUGUAGGCUGAAACUCGCCUACAUGAAGCUGGAGUUACUAGUAAUCGCAGAUCAGAAUGCUGCGG
rnacentral:rRNA from 1 species